rnacentral:rRNA from 1 species
AUUGAACGCUGGCGGCAGGCCUAACACAUGCAAGUCGAGCGGAUGAAGGGAGCUUGCUCCUGGAUUCAGCGGCGGACGGGUGAGUAAUGCCUAGGAAUCUGCCUGGUAGUGGGGGAUAACGUCCGGAAACGGGCGCUAAUACCGCAUACGUCCUGAGGGAGAAAGUGGGGGAUCUUCGGACCUCACGCUAUCAGAUGAGCCUAGGUCGGAUUAGCUAGUUGGUGGGGUAAAGGCCUACCAAGGCGACGAUCCGUAACUGGUCUGAGAGGAUGAUCAGUCACACUGGAACUGAGACACGGUCCAGACUCCUAAGGGAGGCAGCAGGGGGGAAUAUUGGACAAUGGGCGAAAGGCUGAUCCAGGCAUGCCGCGUGGGGGAAGAAGGUCUUCGGAUUGUAAAGCACUUUAAGGUGGGAGGAAGGGCAGUAAGUUAAUACCUUGCUGUUUUGACGUUACCAACAGAAUAAGCACCGGCUAACUUCGUG